ACGCUCGACACCUACGGGAGGCAGCAGUGGGGAAUAUUGCACAAUGGGGGGAACCCUGAUGCAGCGACGCCGCGUGAGUGAAGAAGUACUUCGGUAUGUAAAGCUCUAUCAGCAGGGAAGAAAAUGACGGUACCUGACUAAGAAGCCCCGGCUAACUACGUACCAGCAGCCGCGGUAAUCUGAGCGGGCUGGCAAGGC
rnacentral:rRNA from 1 species